rnacentral:rRNA from 1 species
UACGUAGGGUGCGAGCGUUAAUCGGAAUUACUGGGCGUAAAGAGCGCGCAGGCGGUCGUUCAAGUCGAGUGUGAAAGCCCCCGGCUCAACUGGGGAGGGUCAUUCGAUACUGAUCGACUUGAAGGCAGGAGAGGGAAGCGGAAUUCCCGGUGUAGUGGUGAAAUGCGUAGAUAUCGGGAGGAACACCAGUGGCGAAGGCGGCUUCCUGGCCUGUUCUUGACGCUGAGGCGCGAAAGCUAGGGGAGCAAACGGG